GGAGGGGACCUAGGUGAUCUGGCCACGACACUUGCCAUCCCAUUGGUCUCCAGGGUUGAUUCAGCUGAUCUGGCUGGCUGGGCAGUAUCCCCUUUCUCCCUCUUCUCCAUGUGUGUCCCUCCUAAAGCUGCACACUCAGGCAAAGAGGAUGCUCUUCCCUGAUAGAGGAGGAUUGUUCUUUGGUCAAGAGUAUAUAAGUAGUUAUGCUCCACGGCUAGAACCUCCCAACAAGCUCUUAAGAGUGGGAACCAAAUCCCAUAUGAUGGGUGCCCUUACAGAAACAGGAAAAGACAUACCAAGGAUGUGUUUGCAUAGAGGAAAAGUCAUUUG
ensembl:misc_RNA 7SK 7SK RNA